UACGUCACCCGUAUAGUGAAACUAUGUUGAAUGAAAAGUUCGUUUAAAAUGUAAAUGAUUAUUUGCUGCUAAACAUUGAGUUAAAGAAACAUUUGUAAUUGAUGGCGCACUUUAUUGUCGUACUUUCGUUUGCUUGAUUUGUGCCAUUUGAGGAUUUAGGUUUUGAAUUUGUCACAACAAUAAACUUAUUUGCACACAUAUAUAUAUAUAUAUAUAUACAUGCACACUCGAUGAAUAAAACUAAGAGGAUUCAAAACUAAUAUUGCCACUUUUAAAAUGAUUUUAUUCGAAAGGCUAUUCCUAAAGCAAUGUCACGUACCAUUUCCGUUAUAAUUUCAUAUUUCCUCAUUUGUCACGUGGAUGAGCUUAUGUUAAAAAUCAGACGUUUUACAGCUAGACUGACAGCGGUAUACAAUCCGUAUUAAUAUGGGUGUUGAAAGUCCCGAGGUUAUUUCGGCUUUAGUUAUAGGUGUGUUAGUAACUGCAGUGACAACUUUAGUUAUUUCUGUAAAAAUAAUGACGCUGCUCAUUCACAUCAUACGAAGGAAAGAUGUAUACAUUUGUCCAGGCCAUACAGUUGGAAAAGGUAUAAGCCAUGUGGGUAAUGAAAACGAGUACGAAUUUCCUCAAGACCGUACAAUUGGUCGACAGUACUCGUCCAUCGGAUGCGAAGACUUUCGGAGAAAUAAUAGUAGAACAGACGAAAAGAAGCCUUUUGAAAGUCCUAAUCCAUCGAUGCAGGAUCCAGUUUAUCAUGACAUUAUCCCAGUUCAAGGGACAUCGGAGACAAAUCCCAUCACCCAGCGAACCAAUGUUCGAAGGUCGCAAACUACUGUAGUGUGAUUUAAACAGCGUCCAAACAACUUGAUAAAACUGCAAUUUAGUAAAAAAAGAAUUACUUUAUAUGAACUAAUGAGUACAAUUUUUGCUUCUGUAUUUGUAACAGUUACUGGUAGAUUUAUAAGACGGUUGAUUCUGUCUUUUUCUCUUUUACUUUUUGAUAUAUAAUAUAACAAAAUUUGUAGUAGUAAAA